GCUACACAGCAAAAUCACCAGUGUUAAAUUUUCAGGGAUGGUGUUAAAUACACAGUGUUGAUGCUGUUUUAACACUAUCUGGUAAUAAAAUAACACUGCCAUUGCUAGGCCAGUGUUAUAUCCACGACAGUGUCGGUGUAAAACAAGGGUGUUAUCAGAUUUCACUCUGAGCGGUGUAAAUCAAGCCACGCCUCCACUAAACAUUUCCUGUCAGGGAUUUUACCGCCAUUUUCUUUCAAAGGAGGACUGAAGAGAGCAGAUGCUAGUUUGGUCAAAGUACACACUGAGUGCUUCAAAUCAUUCAGAAGAGAUGCUGUUUUUAGGGCAGUUUAUUAAAGAAGACCUGACAUGGAUGACUUCCAAUGAGAAACGACUGCUAAUACUUAUAUAAAUUCAUUACAGAAGGACCCUACCAGACUAUAUUUGAAUACGGCAUACCCAUGAAUUCUGAACUGUUAUUCCUUAACCCAGUUUGGAGGAUAAGAGCUUACCAACUAGUUAUAAAUAUGCUGAGGCGAUGUAUUGCCGAAUAGCCAACAUACAACAAUUAAAGGAUAAUUGCAGACUACAUCCUGAUGAAGAUAUGGAUGACCCUCUGUCUGGUCAACAAAAGUUAAAAUAUGGACGGGACAGUUAUGUGGCAGGUCUUCCCUGGCUCUGUCACCUCUUGCCUUCAUUUGUGAAAGGAAGAAAGACUGGAGAGGGUCAAUGUGCAACUGAAGCUACUGAUUGUGCUGUGUGAUGAGCAUCAAUCCAUGCUUUGAGGGGGAUGAAUCAGCACAGCCCUGCCUGCUCUGCGUUGGGAACAGAAGUUGCUUCCAGAGUUUUGCAUCAUUCUGGACCAAAAAGCCAUUCCCUGCAUGAUGAAGACCACUGAUGCAGCCUUCCACUACAUCAUGAGUAAAACAACUACAGAACUUAAUACCAGGUUGGAACGUGUUUAAGAAAAAUGAAACGUCUUUUGAAUUGAAAUGUCUGUUUUGUUAUGGAAAAAUCUUUAGUAUUGUGAAGGAUAAGCAUUUCUGCCUGCCAGUAAGGUAAUUGCAGUGUAUUUUAAUAUUCAAGUUUUGAGUAGGGUGGCUAAUUUUUUUUAACUCUCAUUUGAUUUAUUAAAGACUUUAUAAUAAGUGGUUUUCAUGUCACUGCGCUGUGGUAUAAGAUAACUUUCAUUAUUCCAUAUUGUAUUCUGUUUCUAAUUGUAGCUGAGGUAUUUAAAUAAGCAGUGUUAAAUGCAAAGUGUUGUGUGUAUCAAUGUAAAUAUUGAAUGUGAUGUACUUUAAUAAAAAGAGGUUUUGCAAUA